rnacentral:rRNA from 1 species
GACGAACGCUGGCGGCGUGCUUAACACAUGCAAGUCGAACGGAAAGGCCCUGCUUUUGUGGGGUGCUCGAUUGGCGAACGGGUGAGUAACACGUGUGUAACCUGCCCUUGUCUUUGGGAUAACUUCACGAAACUGGGGCUAAUACCGGAUAGGAUCUCCUGCUGCAUGGUGGGGGUUGGAAAGUUUCGGCUGUUGGGGAUGGACUCGCGGCUUAUCAGCUUGUUGGUGGGGUAGUGGCUUACCAAGGGUUUGACGGGUAGCCUGCCUGGGAGGGUGGACGGCCACAUUGGGACUGAGAUACGGACCAGACUGCUACGGGAGGCAGCAGUGGGGAAUAUUGCACAAUGGGCGGAAGCCUGAUGCAGAAACGUCGGGUGCGGGAUGACGGCCUUCGGGUUGUAAACCGCUGUCGCCUGUGACGAAGCGGGAGUGACGGUAAUGGGUAAAGAAGCACCGGCUAACUACGUG